rnacentral:lncRNA from 10 species
GAGAAUUUUCAGAGGUCCUGAAUCUGCCGUUUCGCUAGUGUCACCUUAUGAGAGCUUUUUAAGAGAGAAAAAAAAGGAUGGCAGCAUGAACUCAGCUGGGCCCCGUGGUCCUCAGCCCAGCCCUCGGCAGAAGCAGUGAAUUCAGCCAUAACUACAGCAGAGUCUGAUCAUUCUCCUGAUGAAAUUACACUGAUCUAAUUUGCACGCUGUGAAGACAUUUGGCACUGGCUGGAUCUGAGCCUUGACAUCUUCAUUGGAACUAAAAGUACACUAAGAACUGACAUUACGUUUCACAUUCUUUUCUGCCAGGCUGUGGCAUUUCAUCCUCUUUAAAGGCAUUAUUUCAAGAACAUUUAAUUUGGCUUUGAUAUGCCUGCCAUUUUGCUGGGUGGAACAUACUGCGCCAGAAAAGCUCAGCUGUAAUAAAGUUUGGCACCAACAGCUCACCAUAUACCUGCACCAUCCUGUGCAAUUUAAUUGGCAUUCAGUGGGUUGAUAAAUGGAUUGGCUUAAUGAGACAAUAUACUUGACAUAUGCAGAACUCUCCUGAGGAAUAGGAUUCAUUUUUUCACUUCACACAUCAACAUGUUACAGAUACCAACACAGUCACCUCCAGCAGUUGCACUGUAGCCAAUGGACGCCUUCCAUUGUGUUGACCAGUAAUAUUACCUUCCAGCUAUCUCACUCCUUCCUCUUUUAGCACAAAAGUAUGUUUUAAAUUUCAUUGUCUUUUAUAUUUUCUCAGAUAUAAGGCAUAAGAUAGGCUCCAUGUUUAAUUUACAUAAAUCUGUAUUAUCUCAGCAGAUCAUACAGCUUUUUUUGGUGUCUAAACAGAUUAGUUUUACCUACUGUAAAAUGACAUAACUAUAAAAUACAUGUAAUAAUGAAUUCUAGGUAUAACUACUGGCAUAUGCAAUCAUGUAAUUGAGAAGGUGGGUGACAUUCUAUCUUCAGAAAUGUUGGCUUCAAGAAUAAAUUAAUUAAAACAAAAAAGAAACACCAUUUUCACUCCUCAGAUUAGCUAAGAUGAAAAAGAACCAUAAUGCUGGGUGUUGGCAGGGGAUCCAGGAAAUAAAUGCCUCAUGCUCUGCUGGUGGGAUUCUAAAUUAAUACAACUUUUUUUGCAAGGCCAUUGGCAAUAUGUAUCAAAAACCUUAAGAAUGGGUAUAGCCUUUCACUAAGCACUUUCACUUCUCAAAAUAUACCCCAAGCAAAUAAAGACAUGCCAAAGAUUAAUAUUUGAGAGUGAUCAUCACAUUAAGUAUAAUAGAAAAAAUUAAAACCAUCUAGAUAUCUUAAAAAAGAGAUUGAAUAAAAUGUGGAAUACCUAUAGUCUAGAAUACUAUACUGCUAUUAAAAUGAUGUAGUAGAAAUAUUUAUAAUGAAAAAAUGUUCUUGAUGCCUUUUAUGCUGAAAAAGUAUUAUAAAACACUAGGUUCAUUAUUGGUCAUUAAAAAAAUUACAUAUAAAACACAUUUAUACCCAUACUAAAAAAAGUCAAAGGACAAAUACCAACAUAGUAAUAAUGCGUGCCUCUGGAGAUAGGGAUUAUUAUCUGUGUUUUUUUUUCUUUAUGCUUAUCUGUAUUUUUUAAUCAAAUAAGUUAUUUAAAAGACUUAGAUAAGAUGGCAUUUUAAACUUAUCAAGAAAUUUCUUUCUGACCAAAAUUUGAUUUGGGAAAAUUCUUUACUGUGUCAUAAGUCAAAUUAUGCUUGUAUAAUUCAAUUCUUUUUAUUGUUCCAGGUCAUUUAAGUAUUCAGUAGAGUAGCUGUCCAGAUAGAUAAACCAUCUUAGACAAAUGAAG